rnacentral:rRNA from 1 species
CCCCUAGAUGUUCUGGGCCGCACGCGCGCUACACUGAACAGUUCAACAAGUCUUAACCUUGGCCGAAAGGUCUGGGUAAUCUCCAAAUUUCGUCGUGAUGGGGAUAGAUUAUUGCAAUUAUUAAUCUUCAACGAGGAAUGCCUAGUAAGCGCAAGUCAUCAGCUUGCGUUGAUUACGUCCCUGCCCUUUGUACACACCGCCCGUCGCUCCUACCGAUUGAAUGGUCCGGUGAAGCGUUCGGACCGUGGCCUUUGGACGGUUCGCCAUCUGUUGGCUGCGGGAAGUUCGUUAAACCUUAUCAUUUAGAGGAAGGAGAAGUCGUAACA